AGCUUGCUACACCAUAGACUGUGAGUUGCGAACGGGUGAGUAACGCGUAGGUAACCUGCCUAUUAGAGGGGGAUAACUAUUGGAAACGAUAGCUAAUACCGCAUAACAGUAUGUAACACAUGUUAGAUGCUUGAAAGAUGCAAUUGCAUCGCUAGUAGAUGGACCUGCGUUGUAUUAGCUAGUAGGUAGGGUAAAGGCCUACCUAGGCAACGAUACAUAGCCGACCUGAGAGGGUGAUCGGCCACACUGGGACUGAGACACGGCCCAGACUCCUACGGGAGGCAGCAGUAGGGAAUCUUCGGCAAUGGGGGGAACCCUGACCGAGCAACGCCGCGUGAGUGAAGAAGGUUUUCGGAUCGUAAAGCUCUGUUGUUAAGGAAGAACGAGUGUGAGAAUGGAAAGUUCAUACUGUGACGGUACUUAACCAGAAAGGGACGGCUAACUACGUGCCAGCAGCCGCGGUAAUACGUAGGUCCCGAGCGUUGUCCGGAUUUAUUGGGCGUAAAGCGAGCGCAGGCGGUUAGAAAAGUCUGAAGUGAAAGGCAGUGGCUCAACCAUUGUAGGCUUUGGAACCUGUUUAACUUGAGUGCAGAAGGGGAGAGUGGAAUUCCAUGUGUAGCGGUGAAAUGCGUAGAUAUAUGGAGGAACACCGGUGGCGAAAGCGGCUCUCUGGUCUGUAACUGACGCUGAGGCUCGAAAGCGUGGGGAGCGAACAGGAUUAGAUACCCUGGUAGUCCACGCCGUAAACGAUGAGUGCUAGGUGUUAGGUCCUUUCCGG
rnacentral:rRNA from 1 species